CUGAACUUGAUGAGAGCUGGAAGUUACCUGAGAGCUCCGGGUGCUUGUUCUUUGAGGAGGUGUUCUGAAUCGACGUGCGAGAGCCAGGUAGCUGCUGCAGAAUGUCUUCCAUCUUAAAGAUGUUCGGAAGAGAAGACAAGAAGGAUCAGGGCAAAGAGAAGGAGAAAGACAAGAA